rnacentral:rRNA from 1 species
AUGAUACGUCAAUACUGGUGGGGAGUGGAGAACGGGAAGAAAAGGAUGGCCUGGAUGAGCUGGGACAAACUGAGGCUCCCUAAAUCCAUGGGUGGCAUGGGGUUUAGGAACAUGAGGUCUUUUAACCAAGCCUUGUUAGCAAAACAAGCGUGGCGAUUACUGGAUACGCCGGAGAGCCUUUGUGCACGACUACUAAAGGCAAAAUAUUACCCUUCUGGACAUUUGUUGGAUAUGGUAUUCUCGGGCAAUGGUUCUUCAGUUUGGAAAGGUAUUUUGCAUGGUCUCGAGUUGCUCAAGAAAGGUGUCAUUUGGAGGGUGGGGAACGACGCUGAUAUCCACACUUGGAGGGAUCCUUGGAUCCCCUGUCCAUCGACGUUUCGCCCUAUCUCACCGAAGGGCAAUUGCCGCUUGAACCGGGUGGCUGAUGUUCUUGAUGAAAACGAUGCUUGGCGUGUGGAUCGCCUUCGUGAGUUUUUUUGGCCUAUGGACGUGGAGUACAUAGUAAAAAUCAGAGCAUCGCCCCGUCAGCGUGGUGAUUUCUUGUCCUGGUUCCCGGAGAAAUGCGGAGUAUUCACGGUGAAGAGUGCUUACAAGCUAGCCACAUGUGAUCACAAUGCGGCCUUUGCAAAUGGCUCUUCUAGCUCAAACCCAGAGGGGAAUCGUUCACUUUGGAACCGAGUUUGGUCGGCCAACGUGCCUCAGAAGAUGAAGAUUACAGCUUGGAGAGUGGUUACCGGUACGUUGGCUACUCAACAGUGCAAGAAUUACAGGCAUUUGGCCACACGUUCACUGUGUCCUCUCUAUGGGGUGGAGGAGGAGAGUACCUUUCAUGCCCUGAUCGCUUGCACUCAGGCAAGGAUCUUGUGGAUCAACAUGAUGGCCGCUUCCCAACGACGACCUCCUCAUUGA